CGAGGGGCAGCAUAUAGAUUGCUUGCAAUUUAUGAUGGCGACCGGCGCACGGGUGAGUAACGCGUAUCCAACCUACCCAUUACUAGGGAAUAACCCAGCGAAAGUUGGCCUAAUGCCCUAUGUAGUCGUUUGAUCGCCUGAGAUUUCGACGAAAGAUUUAUCGGUAUUGGAUGGGGAUGCGUCUGAUUAGCUUGUUGGCGGGGUAAAGGCCCACCAAGGCAACGAUCAGUAGGGGUUCUGAGAGGAAGGUCCCCCACAUUGGAACUGAGACACGGUCCAAACUCCUACGGGAGGCAGCAGAGAGGAAUAUUGGUCAAUGGGCGAGAGCCUGAACCAGCCAAGUAGCGUGCAGGAUGACGGCCCUAUGGGUUGUAAACUGCUUUUAUAUGGGAAUAAAGUGAGGGACGUGUCCCUUAUUGCAUGUACCAUACGAAUAAGGACCGGCUAAUUCCGUGCCAGCAGCCGCGGUAAUACGGAAGGUCCAGGCGUUAUCCGGAUUUAUUGGGUUUAAAGGGAGCGUAGGCUGUUUGUUAAGCGUGUUGUGAAAUGUAGGAGCUCAACUUUUAGAUUGCAGCGCGAACUGGCAGACUUGAGUGCGCACAACGUAGGCGGAAUUCAUGGUGUAGCGGUGAAAUGCUU
rnacentral:rRNA from 1 species